UACGGAGGGUGCGAGCGUUGUCCGGAAUCACUGGGCGUAAAGGGCGCGUAGGCGGCCUGCUAAGUCGAACGUGAAAUCCCUGGGCUCAACCCAGGAACUGCGUCCGAUACUGGUUGGCUUGAAUCCGGGAGAGGGACGUGGAAUUCCAGGUGUAGCGGUGAAAUGCGUAGAUAUCUGGAGGAACACCGGUGGCGAAGGCGGGUCUCUGGGCCGAUACUGACGCUGAGGAGCGAAAGCGUGGGGAGCAAACAGG
rnacentral:rRNA from 1 species